AUGCACCGAAUAUGCAUAACCAACACGGACGCAAAACCUGUCGCUCCUUUUCCUUUCUUCCCGAAGUCUCUUCUUCUGGAUCGUCAGCCCACAACCGACACCCAAGGCCAAAACCCGACGAGAUCCUCUUCUCCCUCCACCCCCACUCCAGCCACACAGAGCAAGGCAGGCAAUCGCGUCACCACCGUCGACCCCCCCGUCCGUCGAGGUAUGAGACAGGAGGCCGCCAGCCUGGUGGUCACCCGCGAAGACCACCGGCAGCACCACCACAGCCGCCCGCCGCCUCCCGACGAGGAGGACGGGGAGGAGGAGGAGGAGGACACGGAUGCCGUGGCCCCGUCGUCCUGCGCGACGAUCCUGCUGCGCCGGGUGAGCGGCGAGGCCGAGGCGGUGGAAAGUGAGGAGCCGCUGCAGCUGGUCCCGCCGCUCAACUUCGCCAUGGUGGACCACGGCGUGUACCGCUCCGGGUUCCCGGACGCCUCCAACCUGCCCUUCCUCGAGACCCUCCGCCUCCGCUCCGUCCUGUGCCUCUGCCCGGAGCCGUACCCGGAGGCCAACCAGGAGUUCCUCCGUGCCCACGGGAUCAGGCUGUUCCAACUCGGAAUCGACGGCUCCAAGGAACCCUUUGUGAGCAUUCCCGAAGACAGAAUCCGCGAGGCUCUGAAAGUUGUUCUAGACACAAGAAACCACCCGGUGCUUAUUCACUGCAAGCGUGGAAAGCAUCGAACUGGCUGUGUUGUUGGAUGCUUGAGGAAACUGCAGCGCUGGUGUCUAACAUCAGUAUUCGACGAAUACCAGCGUUUUGCUGCUGCGAAAGCAAGAGUUUCUGAUCUAAGGUUUAUUGAGCUAUUCGACGUCUCAAGCUUAAAGCAUUUACCCGCGUCUUUCUCAUGUUGA
rnacentral:rRNA from 1 species